GUUGGUUCCUAAUGCCGCGUUACGUUCCCAGGUCAGGUAUUAGUUGGUUCCUAAUGCCGCGUUACGUUCCCAGGUCAGGUAUUAGUUGGUUCCUAAUGCCGUGUUACGUUCCCAGGUCAGGUAUUAGUUGGUUCCUAAUGCCGUGUUACGUUC